rnacentral:tRNA from 1 species
GCCUGGGUGGCUCAGUUGGUUGAGCAUCUGACUUCAGCUCAGGUCACGAUCUCACAGUUUAUGAGUUCGAGUCCCGCAUCGGGCU